GACUACCGGGGUAUCUAAUCCUGUUCGCUCCCCACGCUUUCGUGCCUCAGUGUCAGUUACAGUCCAGUAAGUCGCCUUCGCCACUGGUGUUCCUCCUAAUAUCUACGAAUUUCACCUCUACACUAGGAAUUCCACUUACCUCUCCUGCACUCAAGCUAAUCAGUUCCAAAGGCUUACAUUGGUUGAGCCAAUGCCUUUCACCUCUGGCUUGAUCAGCCACCUACGCACCCUUUACGCCCAGUGAUUCCGGAUAACGCUUGCCCCCUACGUAUUACCGCGGCUGCUGGCACGUAGUUAGCCGGGGCUUCCUCCUAUGGUACCGUCAUUUUUUUCUUCCCAUAGGACAGAGUUUUACGACCCGAAGGCCUUCAUCACUCACGCGGCGUUGCUGCAUCAGGCUUGCGCCCAUUGUGCAAUAUUCCCCACUGCAGCCCCCCGUAGG
rnacentral:rRNA from 1 species